CGUCAAAUCAUCAUGCCCCUUAUGACCAGGGCUACACACGUGCUACAAUGGCGUAAACAAAGGGAGGCGACCCCGCGAGGGUGAGCAAAUCUCAAAAAUAACGUCUCAGUUCGGAUUGUAGUCUGCAACUCGACUACAUGAAGCUGGAAUCGCUAGUAAUCGCAAAUCAGCAUGUUGCGGUGAAUACGUUCCCGGGUCUU
rnacentral:rRNA from 1 species